GGCCGUGGAGGCACUGACCCACUUACAGCUGCUUCCUUUAUUUUUGGCCAUUGGCCAACGCUCCCUCUUUAGGUAGCAGUGGGUCCCGAAAAGCACACUCAUCCCAGCCCUGCUAACAUGAGACAUUAGAUGGGGGUCACCGCUAGGCUUUAAUUUCCUGGGAGAGGGUUGUACCUAUCCAUAAACAAAGUUCCUUGUGGUCCAACAAAAGUUGCUCAAUGUAUUUAUUGGUUUAUUGAGACAGGGUCUUGCUCUGUUGGUCAGGCUGGAGUGCUGUGUGCCGUCAUGGACCUACCUGGCUCAAGCGAUCCACCUGUCUGUCUCUUGAGUAGCUGGGACCACAGGUGCACACCACCAUGCCCAGCUAAUUUUUUAUUUUGUAGAGAUGGGAUCUUGCUUUGUUGCUGAGGCUGGUGUUAAACUCCUGGGCUCAAGCAAUUCUCCCACCUUGGCCUCCCAAAGUGCUGGGCUUACAGGCAUGGAUCGCUGCUCCCAACCAUCUGAGGGCAUUUUUAGAGCUCUCCUCUAGACAUCAGGGUCUGGAGCAAGAGGCUCCAUCUACUUGGAAGAAAAUGUUCUCUCUAGCCCCGUCUGACUUAAAAGUGUGUCCCUCCAGGACAAGGAGCUCUUGCCAUUUUAUGGUUUGAUCCAAACAGGCUAAGGGGCAAAUUAUGUCCCACAAGAAUGAGAGAGAAGGCUGGCACUUCGUCUCCUUUAUCCAUUUGUCUUCACCUCCUCAGGCCACAGGGGUGCUUAACCACUUCAUCUUAAAAGUAUGUGGAGUGGGGCUGGGCACGGUGGCUCACCCCUGUAAUCCCAGCAUUUUGGGAGGCCAAGGCAGGAGGAUUGCUUGAGCCUGGGAGGUGAGGACAAGCCUGGGCAACAGAGGGGGACUCUCUCUCUACAAAAAAGUAGAAAAUUAGCUGGAUAUCGUGGCGUGCCCCUGUGAUCCCAGCUACUUAGAAGGUUGUGGGAGGAUCGCUUGAGCCCAGGAGGUCAAGACUGCAGUGAGCUGAGCUCAUGCCACUUAUACUUCAGCUUGGGUAACAGAGCAAGACUCUGUCUCAAACAAUGAAACAAACAACAAACAAAAUCUUUUGAAGCCCGCAUCAAGUCUUUUAACAAUUAAGGAGAGCAUUUAUCUUUAAAAUUAGACUUAUAUGCCUCUAAGAUAGGUGAGCAGUAACAAAAUUAAUUUUAGCUGGGAUUAUGCUGUGAUUACGUUUGGCUUAAACAGUAAUGAAAAUAAGUUUAGGCUGGGUGCGGUGGCUCAUGCCUGUCAUCCCAGCACUUUAGGAGGCUGAGGCAAGCGGAUCACCUGAGGUCAGGGGUUCGAGACAAGCCUGACCAAGAUGGAGAAACCCCGUCUCUACCAAAAAUACAAAAUUAGCCGGGUGUGGUGGCGCAUGCCUGUAAUCCCAGCUACUUGGGAAGCAGAGGACAAUCGCUUGAACCCAGAAGGCAGAGGUUGUGGUGAGCCGAGAUCUCGCCAUUGCACUCCAGCCUGGACAACAAGAGUGAAACUUCAUCUCAAAACAAUAAUAAGUUUACAACCUCUGAAUAUGUACCAAAUGGAGCCAGAGGUGGGGAGUAUUAGGACAAGCCCCGCACUGCAGAGCCCCCCAGCUCUCACUCGUGGACCGAGUGCAUGGGACACAGCCAUUCGGAAAGCUCUUUCUUUUGGAGUGGGACUGGGUGUUCUGGUUUUGGUUUGCUUGUUUUAUCAUUUUGUGACGUUGGCGCCUAUUCUUCAGUUUACAUCCUUGCCUUGCUUGCUUGAAGCUGGAGCACAAAUGUCCCGUCACCCUGUAACAACACAAGCAUGCGUCAUGCCUGCGAGGCUUAGCUUGGGAAGUGGAAUCUCCAGGAAUCUCCUUCUGUGGUCUGUCUGCCACUUCACACUGUUGCUCUCAUUUCAGUCACUGAGGCCCUGUCCCUUAUCCUCCAGGGACAUGGUGCUGUCCUAUGAGCUGUGGCUCCUUUGUGACUUUUACAUUGCUCCUCCAGAUACCAGUGGCAGUGGCAUUUGCAAAAAGGCUAUUUGAGAACAAAUAAGAAUAAAAUCAUCAAAGCGAAGAUGAUAGUAAAACAGCCCUCAUUUUUCAAAGUCCACUCUUUUUUCUGGUCCGUGCACUGCCAGCUCACUUCUCUGGCUAAAACCCGGGGGCGGCGGGGGUGUGUGUGGGGGGGUUAGUUUUGCAGAAAGUACUGAUGACACAGCUGUGCUCCAAGUUAACCAGAACACAAGAAUUGAAAAAGCCUGUGAGAUACUGGUGCUCGUGAUCGUAAGCUCCAAGUUGGGGGGUUUUCAGAUGAACACAAAAAGGGGGCUUCUCCCGUCCCAAGAUGAGUGAUAAAUGAGUCACUUCUCAUACUCGCACUCACACUCGCUCCAUUUCCUCUGGGAUGACUGUCUUCCGUCCUACAGCUGUGGCUGCUGUUAUUCGCCUGAUAAACUUCUUUCCCUCUCCCUCCCUCUGACACAGAAACACACACACACACACACACACACACACACACACACACACACACACACACACACACACACACACACCGCUGGAUCUAUAAGCAGUUUGUAACAGGAUGCACCAGUUCUAAUCACUUUUCAAGUCAAAUGAACGAGUCGCAGCUUCCUAAUAAGUGAAUGGCUGACAUAAGGAGUUAAUUCAGAAGCAACUCAAUAAUAUGGACAAUACUAGUGGACAAUAUUAGCAUACUGCUCGUACAACAAAGAUACUGUAGUCUCUUGUGCUGCCUCUUCAAGACGAAUUUGCUGAAAGUGGGUUGUAAUUAGAGAUGUUAAAAAAAACAUUGGCUGUGCGCGAUGGCUUACUCCCAUAAUCCCAGCACUUUUGGAGGCGAGGCAGGUGGAUCACCUGAGGUUAGGAGUUCGAGACCAGCCUGGCUAACAUGGCGAAACCCCAUCUCUACUAAAAAUACAAAAAAUUAGCCAGGCAUUGUGGUGGGCACCUGUAAUCUCAGCUACUUGGGAGGCUGAGGCCGAAGAAUUUCUUGAACCUGGGAGGUGGAGGUUGCAGUGACCCGAGAUCAUGCCAUUGCACUCCAGCCUGGGCAACAAGAGUGAAAUUGUGUCUCAAAUAAUAAUAAUAAUGAUAAUAAACUGAGAUUCAUCAUUCCUCCUCUCUCCUUUUCAUUGAGAACUUAAUAAAAAUGGAAAAUAUCCAUUACUUCUUGGGUUCUUGAUGAUCUCAAACCGUUAAGCCGGGAUGGAGGAUAGAUGUGGUCGGUAAACACUGAAAUCAAGAACCUUAAGGGGGCCAGAGCCCUGAGCAAAGCAGUGGGUCCAGAGUGCCCCUAACAUGCUUUUCCAUUGGAAGGAGCUGCUAUAAACUCCGAGGGUCCCGGGCCCUGCUGGAGACUCUGGGCUGGAAUCCUCUGUGAUAUUCUCCACAGUCGCCCAUUGUAUAGGUUUCCUUGGGGAUUCCUCAGAGUGGCUUCCAACCUUCCCACUGGCAGAGUCCCCUUUUCCCACUCCCACCCCUGCCAUGGGCCCCAUUUUUGUUUUUGUUUUUAUUUUUGAGACAGAGUCUUGCUCUGUCCUCCAGGCUGGAGUGCAGUGGUGCAAUCAUAGCUCAGUGCAGCCUCCACCUCCCGGGCUCAAGUGAUCCUCCCACCUCAGCCUCCUGAGCAGCUGGGCACUACAGAUGUGUGCCACCACCACAUUUGGCUAAUUUUUUUGUAUUUUUAGUAGAGA